GACGAACGCUGGCGGCGUGCUUAACACAUGCAAGUCGAACGAAGUGGCGAACGGGUGAGUAACGCGUAAUCAACCUGCCCUUCAGAGGGGGACACUAGUUGGAACCGACUGCUAAUACCGCAUACGGAAGGCGGGGAUUGCGUCGGAUCAGCUAGUUGGAGGGGUAACGGCCAACCAAGGCGAUGAUCAGUAGCCGGUCUGAGAGGAGUAACGGGCACAUUGGGACUGGGACACGGCCCAUACUCCUACGGGAGGCAGCAGUGGGGAAUCUUCCGCAAUGGACGAAAGUCUGACGGAGCAACGCCGCGUGAGUGAUGACGGCCUUCGGGUUGUAAAGCUCUGUUAAUCGGGACGCGGUACCGGAAUAGAAAGCCACGGCUAACUACGUGCCAGCAGCCGCGGUAAUAC
rnacentral:rRNA from 1 species